UACGGAAGGUGCGAGCAUUGUUCGGAGUGACUGGGCGUAAAGAGCGCGUAGGUGGACUUGUAAGUCGAUUGUGAAAGCCCCGGGCUUAACCUGGGAAUAGCAGUUGAAACUACUUGUCUUGAAUGCCUGAGGGGUUGGCGGAAUUCCAGGUGUAGGAGUGAAAUCCGUAGAUAUCUGGAGGAACACCAGAGGCGAAGGCGGCUUCCUGGACAAUUGCUGACGCUCAGGCACGAAAGCGUGGGGAGCAAAAGGG
rnacentral:rRNA from 1 species